UACGGAGGGUGCGAGCGUUAUCCGGAUUUAUUGGGUUUAAAGGGUGCGCAGGCGGUCUGUUAAGUCAGCGGUCAAAGCCCGGGGCUCAACCCCGGUCCGCCCCGAUACCGGCAGGCUUGAGUCUGGUAGGGGAAGGCGGAAUUCCCAGUGUAGCGGUGGAAUGCGCAGAUAUUGGGAAGAACACCGGCGGCGAAGGCGGCCUUCUGGGCCACGACUGACGCUGAGGCGCGAAAGCUAGGGGAGCGAACAGG
rnacentral:rRNA from 1 species